rnacentral:lncRNA from 1 species
UUUUGUUUGUUAUCCUGUGAACAGUUCUUUGCCUUUGCCAUUUUUCUAUUGGAUGGUUGACUUUUAUUAUUUAUUUCUCAGGAGCUCUUUACAUACUAAAGAAAUAAGCCCUCCUCUGUCUGUGAUACAAAUAGAAAGGAUUCCCUCUGCCUCUGCUGCUUCUUGACACCUGUGAUUUGACUUUAUAGACGGGGGUUUUGCCAUACAGAAUUAAACAUGUUUUAUGUAGUCCAGUGUAUUAAUAUUAUCUUUUAUGGCCCUUGGGUUUUGUUGUCAUUAGAAAUGCCUUCACCACUCUGAGGACUGCAAUAACAUUUUUUCCCGUGGUUGCUUCUAGCUGAAGUAGUGUUUUAACGAUCUAUUAGACUGGUGCAAAAGUAAUUGUGGUUUUUGCCAUUGAAAGUAAUGGUAAAAACCGCAGUUACUUUUGCACCAACCUAAUAGAUCAUGCCACUUCCCUCUUAAAACCUUACAGUGACUUAUCAUUAACUUUAGACUGGCAUCCACUCUCUUGACGUUGAGCCCCAAGGCACCAGGCGACCUAGUCCUGCCUCUCCCCCAUCUCUCAUCCCCUUGGGCGCUGUAGUGGCCUUCUUUCUGGUUCUUGAACAAGCCACAUUCAGGUCAGCCUUCUGGUUUUUGCCUUUGCUGUUCUCUCUGCCUGGACUGCCUUCUCCUGACUCUUUACUUGGAAGCUUCCUCCUCCUUAUUCAGGUCUCACCUUCUUACAGAGGUGUUCCCUGGUUCCCCCACCCCCACCCCAAAUGUUCCUUGCUCCACUUCCUCAGCAGACACUCUUCACAGCCGUCUCUGAAAUUAUCUCCAGGAGAGCAGGGAGCUCCCUGGUCACGUUCCUGCCACAUUACCAGGGCCUGGAAUGUACAGACUCUCAGUCACUAUUUGUAAACACUGGGUGCACAUAAGGUUAUGUGCGAGAACUGUUUCUGUGUGUGUAAGCCUGGAGAGCUGUGUGUUAAGGGUGGUAUGUGGGCCACGUGUGUGUAGGCUUUGAUGUGCGUUGUUGUGAGUGUGUGUGAUGGUGGAGAUGGCUGGGGUGGUGUGGGAGGCUGUGUGCAUGUGUGGUUGUGAACGUGUGUGAUGGCAGAGAUGGCUGGGGUGGUGUGGGAGGCUGUGUGCAUGUGUGGUUGUGAACGUGUGUGAUGGCGGAGGUGGCUGGGGUGGUGUGGGAGGCUGUGUGCAUGUGUGGUUGUGAACGUGUGUGAUGGCGGAGAUGGCUGGGGUGGUGUGGGAGGCUGUGUGCAUGUGUGGUUGUGAAUGUGUGUGAUGGUGGAGAUGGCUGGGGUGGUGUGGGAGGCUGUGUGCAUAUGUGGUUGUGGUGGUGUGUAGUGGUGUCUAUGUGUGUGGUUGGGUUAUUCUGCUCUGGUAACCAGGUGAUUUUAUCACCUAGGUCCUGUCAUUCUGACUCUGCCAGAUGCUGGCUUUUCACUCUUGAUAUGAGAUAGUGCCCCCAACAACUGGCCUUUGCUUUUUCUGGAGUGAGCUGGAAGAGUUCCCCAUUCCAGAGAGAAUGGCUCUGAGAACCUU